CUAUAUAAGAUAGAUAGGUAGGUAGACAUGAAAGGCACUAUAUAAGAGGUAGGUAGGUAGACAUGAAAGGCACUAUAUAAGAUAGGUAGGUAGGUAGACAUGAAAGGCACUAUAUAAGAUAGAUAGGUAGGUAGACAUGAAAGGCAUUAUAUAAGAUAGAUAGGUAGACAUGAAAGGCACUAUAUAAGAUAGAUAGGUAGGUAGACAUGAAAGGCACUAUAUAAGAUAGAUAGGUAGACAUGAAAGGCACUAUAUAAGAUAGGUAGGUAGGUAGACAUGAAAGGCACUAUAUAAGAUAGGUAGGUAGACAUGAAAGGCACUAUAUAAGAUAGAUAGGUAGGUAGACAUGAAAGGCACUAUAUAAGAUAGGUAGGUAGGUAGACAUGAAAGGCAUUAUAUAAGAUAGAUAGGUAGACAUGAAAGGCACUAUAUAAGAUAGAUAGGUAGGUAGACAUGAAAGGCACUAUAUAAGAUAGAUAGGUAGAUAGACAUGAAAGGCACUAUAUAAGAGGUAGAUAGACAUGAAAGGCACUAUAUAAGA